rnacentral:snRNA from 1 species
AAUCGCUCAAUUAGCGACAGCGA